UCGGACGACAGCACAGAGAAGCUUGCUUCUUGGGUGGCGAGUGGCGAACGGGUGAGUAAUAUAUCGGAACGUACCGAGUAAUGGGGGAUAACUAAUCGAAAGAUUAGCUAAUACCGCAUAUUCUCUGAGGAGGAAAGCAGGGGACCUUCGGGCCUUGCGUUAUUCGACGCGGCCGAUAUCUGAUUAGCUAGUUGGUGGGGUGAAGGCCUACCAAGGCGACGAUCAGUAGCGGGUCUGAGAGGAUGAUCCGCCACACUGGGACUGAGACACGGCCCAGACUCCUACGGGAGGCAGCAGUGGGGAAUUUUGGACAAUGGGCGCAAGCCUGAUCCAGCCAUGCCGCGUGUCUGAAGAAGGCCUUCGGGUUGUAAAGGACUUUUGUCAGGGAAGAAAAGGCUGUUGCUAAUAUCGACAGCUGAUGACGGUACCUGAAGAAUAAGCACCGGCUAACUACGUGCCAGCAGCCGCGGUAAUACGUAGGGUGCGAGCGUUAAUCGGAAUUACUGGGCGUAAAGCGAGCGCAGACGGUUACUUAAGCAGGAUGUGAAAUCCCCGGGCUCAACCUGGGAACUGCGUUCUGAACUGGGUGACUAGAGUGUGUCAGAGGGAGGUAGAAUUCCACGUGUAGCAGUGAAAUGCGUAGAGAUGUGGAGGAAUACCGAUGGCGAAGGCAGCCUCCUGGGAUAACACUGACGUUCAUGCUCGAAAGCGUGGGUAGCAAACAGGAUUAGAUANCCUGGUAGUCCACGCCCUAAACGAUGUCAAUUAGCUGUUGGGCAACUUGAUUGCUUAGUAGCGU
rnacentral:rRNA from 1 species